GACUGCCACGUGAUUAUGACGCAAUUGCUUCCGAUUGCUUUGAGGGGGCUCCUGCCGGAAAAUGUUCGAGUAGCCAUUGUGAAGCUAUGUGCAUUCCUCAAUGCAAUCUCUCAGAAGGUAAUCAAUCCAGAAGUUCUACCACGGUUACAGAACGAUGUGAUCCAAUGCCUUGUCAGUUUCGAGUUGGUGUUCCCGCCAUCCUUCUUCAAUAUUAUGACGCACCUCCUGGUUCACCUAGUCGAAGAGAUUUUCGUUCUCGGUCCUAUAUUUCUACACAAUAUGUUCCCCUUCGAGAGGUUCAUGGGAGUAUUAAAGAAAUAUGUUCGUAACCGUGCUAGGCCAGAAGGAAGCAUCGCCAAGGGCUAUGGAAAUGAGGAGGUAAUUGAGUUUUGUGUUGACUUUGUUCCUGACCUUAAGCCGAUUGGUCUUCCUCGAUCGCGGCACGAGGGGAGACUAAGUGGAAAAGGCACGAUCGGAAGGAAAUCAACGAUAUGUAUGGACGGCCAUUCUCUGACUGAAGCACACCACACUGUACUGGCCAAUUCCAGCUUGGUGGCUCCGUACUUUGAGAAACACAAGAAUAUUUUA
rnacentral:rRNA from 1 species